rnacentral:rRNA from 1 species
AUUGAACGCUGGCGGCAGGCUUAACACAUGCAAGUCGAGCGGGGGAAGUUGCUUCGGUAAUUGACCUAGCGGCGGACGGGUGAGUAAUACUUAGGAAUCUGCCUAUUAAUGGGGGACAACAUCUCGAAAGGGAUGCUAAUACCGCAUACGCCCUACGGGGGAAAGCAGGGGAUCACUUGUGACCUUGCGUUAAUAGAUGAGCCUAAGUCGGAUUAGCUAGUUGGUAGGGUAACGGCCUACCAAGGCUACGAUGUCUAGGGGUUCUGAGAGGAAGGUCCCCCACACUGGUACUGAGACACGGACCAGACUCCUACGGGAGGCAGCAGUGAGGAAUAUUGGUCAAUGGGCGAGAGCCUGAACCAGCCAUCCCGCGUGCAGGAAGACGGCCCUAUGGGUUGUAAACUGCUUUUGCGCAUGAAGAAUGUUACCGACGUGUCGGUAAGUGACGGUAAUGCGUGAAUAAGCAUCGGCUAACUCCGUGCCAGCCGCCGCUGUAAAAC